rnacentral:lncRNA from 1 species
CGCGAGGUCUAGGAGAAGUGGGGCUGGUCUAGGAAGACGGUCAAGCCUCAGAGAUCAGCAAAGUCAGGGAGUUUGUAAUUUGGAGAGGCCGUCUGCAGAAGACGAGAUCAGAAGAAUCUCAGACACAUGCUCCAGGCAACCCAGGCUCAAUAACCCAGCAGUGAUUCCAGGUCCUACACGUGACAUUACCUGCAAGGUGGCUGCCUGCAGUGCCAGCUCAGGGCACAGCCAUGUGGGUGAGCUGGCAGCCAGUGGGCUGGGCUGACAACCUGUGCCACACACACGCUGGACAGAAGCUGCCUCCCCUCCACAUGGAGGUGGGAUGAGGGCAUAUCCUUGGAUGCCACCAGGAUUUUCUUCAGAAAUUGGAGCCUGCUGCAGUGCCCAAAAGAAGGGGCAACAAAGGCCACCAAAACUCCACAGUAAAUGGCAUGGAUUAUUUUAAUAUUUGAAAAACCUUAAAGUGACUGUGGCAAAAUACUUACUUCUGAUACAUAAAAUAAAUUUCAUAAAGUGUCACAUGAUUUUUAUUGUUAGUGUCCC